AUUGAACGCUAGCGGGAUGCCUUACACAUGCAAGUCGAACGGCAGCGCGAACUUCGGUCUGGCGGCGAGUGGCGAACGGGUGAGUAAUGUAUCGGAACGUGCCCAGUAGCGGGGGAUAACUACUCGAAAGAGUAGCUAAUACCGCAUACGCCCUAAGGGGGAAAGGGGGGGAUCGCAAGACCUCUCACUAUUGGAGCGGCCGAUAUCGGAUUAGCUAGUUGGUGAGGUAAAGGCUCACCAAGGCGACGAUCCGUAGCUGGUUUGAGAGGACGACCGGCAACACUGGGGCUGGGACACGGCCCAGACUCCUACGGGAGGCAGCAGUGGGGAAUUUUGGACAAUGGGGGCAACCACGAUCCAGCCAUUCCGCGUGUGCGAUGAAGGCCUUCGGGUUGUAAAGCACUUUUGGCAGGAAAGAAAUCGCACGGAUUAAUACUCUGUGUGGAUGACGGUACCUGCAGAAUAAGCACCGGCUAACUACGUGCCAGCCGCCGCCGUAA
rnacentral:rRNA from 1 species